rfam:Human gut metagenome DNA, contig sequence: F2-V_022545.
CAACAGAGUAAGACCCUGCGCGUUAAGUGCCGCAUCAACGGGGAGUUGUGCUGCGGACGAAGGUAUUAGCCGCGGUGCAGGGUCUGCAUCCCGCUGCUG